rnacentral:rRNA from 1 species
UCUCCGUGGUGCCGCUUUGAUGCGACGCUUCAGGAGCUACCAACUCUCUUGGUGUGACGGGCGGUGAGUACAAGAUCCGGGAACAUAUUCACCGUGGUAUGGCUGAUCCACGAUUACUAGCGAUUCCAACUUCAUGAAGGCGAAUUGCAGCCUUCAAUUCGAACUGAGACUGGUUUUAUGGGAUUAGCUCCACCUCGCGGCUUAGCAACCCUUUGUACCAGCCAUUGUAGCGCCUGUGUCGCCCAAGGCAUAAGGGCCAUGCUGAUCUGACGUCAUCCUCGCCUUCCUCCCGGUUGACCCGGGCAGUCUCGUAUGAAAAUUAUAACAUACAACGAGGGUUUCGUUCGUUUCCCGACUUAACGGAACACCUCACGGCACGAACUGACGACGACCAUGCAGCACCUGUCACUACGUCCGAAGAAAGCCCUGUUUCCAGGGUUGUCGUAGGAUGUCAAACCUUGGUGAGGUUCAUUGCUUACUGUCAAAUUAAACCAGACGCUCCACCGCUUGUGCGGAUCCCCGUCUAUUCCUUUGAGUUUUAGCCUUGCGGCCGUACUUCCCAGGCGGGAUACUUAACGCGUUAGCUGUGACACCCAGGGGGUCGAAUCCCCGGACAUCUAGUAUCCAUCGUUUACGGCGUGGACUACACGGGUAUCUAAUCCGUUUUGCUCCCCACGCUUUCGUCUCUCAGGGUCAGCUGUAGCCUAGCGCAAUGCCUUCGCCUUUGGUGUUCCUUGCGAUAUCAACGGAUUUCACUCCUACACCGCAA